GGCCUAGAACGUUUAGUGAUGUAACACAUUGAGUUAGUACUUGUGAGACUUGUGCUAUAUGUAAGAGGGAACAUUGUGCGUAUCCAGGGUUGUUACAGCCUCCACCUAUUCCUACUCAAGCAUGGCAGCAGGUGUCUAGAUUUUAUUGAAGGCCUGCCUAAGUCAAAGGGGCAUUAUACUAUUUUGGUGGUUGUGUGUAGAUUCAGGUUU
rnacentral:misc_RNA from 1 species